ACCACUAUAUGCAUCAAUUAUGAACCACACUUCACUUUGACAUGGAAGUGAUCUAAUCACUUCGGUGAAGCAUAACCCACCAAUAUCGCUCUCUGAUUACUUGUAAUUACUUACAAUCGGCCUCCCGCAGCACCCGUUGCUCGGUUCGGCCCGAACUCGCACUCGACCACGAAACGACCACCAAUCUACGAUCCGAAAAUUUAA
rnacentral:lncRNA from 1 species